CAGUUUGGUACCACAGGUUGGUACGAUCUUCGUUCGAGAAGGAAAAGGGAUGUUCCAGAUACAGAAAAUCGUCAAACCAUUUACUACAAAGUCCGUUUCUGGGUGGAGUUAGUGGAACCGAAAAAGAUGUCUCCCUCACAGCGUUUGUGACACAAGAAUUGCAUCGUUCCUUGGCGGCCUUUCAACAGAAGAAUAUUCAGAGAUUUCACGAGUGUUGGUCGAGUGGAUCACAGAAAGUCUGGCAACAAAAAAGCUGCAAUGGUUACCUCCUCACUGCUUCCAACUCCUCCUCUUUCUCAGCUGGUGCCCGAUCACUGGCAGCGACAGCGUACCCUCAUGAUGCCAAGGUUGGAGACUAUCAAGAAUCAUGACGACACCGGCCCUUCUCUGUACUGCAGGACUGCCCCAGAGUGCUCCAGGCAGCAGAAACAACAUUGAACUACUCCAGUGGUCUGCACCAUUACAUUUCCUGUGGUACUUUAUGCAGCCCCUCUGAGUGUGUAAUACACACUCCCAUAUGGACCAGGUCAUCAAACAAAGGCUCU